AAUAGCAGCAGAGCAUUGUCUGAUAUAGCACCAGAAGAUGAGAGGAUGGUGCAAAAAGACCUGGUAGGGUUCUGCUCUUCUGUACACAGGGUCACAAGGAACUGAUACUGAU